UUGAUAACUGGGCAAACAUACCGAAAGGUAUGGGCGCAAAGUCUCCGGCCUACGGGAAACUAUGGUAGCGGGACUGCGGCA
rnacentral:ncRNA from 1 species